rnacentral:lncRNA from 10 species
CUUGCACAUGUUCCGGGAAGCAGCCCUCACAAAUGUAGCCAAUGUAGGACAAGCAGUAAUCUGGGAAAUUGUAACAUAAGAUCACAUAAUGGCAGUGGCUUUUGAAUGAUAAGGAAACUGAUAAGGACUAUUAAGAAAGGAACACAGGAGACUAAAAAUCUGAAAGAUUUCCUCUAACACUGCCCAAAAAGAGUGUGAUCUGAUUUUAGAUGAAUUGUACUGGUUCUUUGGACUAAAAUAUCCCUCCAGCAGAGAAAGGCAAUUCAUCAAGCAACCAGAGCUAGAAAGUAAUUCUCUGAAAGAACAUCCGGCUGCCCUGGCUCGUGGUCUUUGCUUACCCAGAAGAGAAUCUGCAAUUUGGCCAUCUGAGUGCUGUUGACCAGCAUGGGUUCUUUUAGUGAUGAUCCUGCUGGGAGAUAAUAUGGGAUAUUGGUUUAUCAAUCACUCUCUGAAACCCAGCAUGUCCACCUAGUUCUAAAGCUCCAAAGAACAGAAGUUUAAGCAAGAAUCUUGCAAAAGCAUUCCUAAGUGUAGCCUCAGUGUGAGGAUCUCAAACUUACUCAGUUUUGGUGAUGCGGAUGGAAUGCUAAUAGAAACAUGACUUUCUGGAAAAGGAAAGCCCUAGCAGACUAACACAGCUGGCAAGUCAGAAGCCUCAGACUCCAAGACCCUGACUGCAGUGCUAUCACACCUCUGUCAGCAGAGUUGGCUAAUGAAUCUUGGAAAAAUCAGAGGUCUUCUCACAAAAUAAGGAUCCUGUGAAGGAGAGUAAUCAAGGAAAAGUUGCAAUCUCUUCAGACCUCUAUCAUCAAAAAGGAGGCCCAGUGCAUUAUUGCACCGAGAAGUUCUCUGUAGGGGUGAUCAUAAGGGACCUUCAAAUGUUUGAGGAAACAUCAUCAGUAGAUAAUGUAGCCCUCAGACAACUGCACUGUUUCUCUGCAGUAAAGCUACCCUUGGUCACUCGGGAGCUUCCUAGAGAUUGAGUAAUUAUUUUGGCACACCUUGCAGACAGUUAUCUUUAUCAUGGGAGUCAUCCAAUAGAAAAGGCGGUAUAAAACCUGUCCCUGAUGUUAGCUAAAGUGAUUAGUUACACUAUCUUUGUCCUGGAAAGCAUUCAGAUUAGCCUUAACUUAUUAGCCAGGGUUGUUAUGGUUGACAGAAUUGCCUUAGGCUUUUUUUCUGUGGGCCAAUGCAGAGGCUGUGCAAUCACUAGUCCAUCCUGCUAUGUCUUGAUCAAUAGCUUGGGCCAAUUUGAAAGGUCAAUACAAAAACUUAAGGAGAAAGCCACCUGGAUCUCUAAGGUAACCCCGAUAGCUUACAGGAUUUGUUCAGCUGGGUCUGGGACUCUUUGGGGUACAGUUGAGGUCAGUACUGCAGGUUGGCUCCAUCCUGUUACUUGAAGUCCUGUUGAUACUGGACUAAUUGAAUGCUGUAUGAGACAGAUUGAAAAGAUUUGGUUUCAGCCUCACCUCAUCUGAUUAAUUGAAGUGGUCAACAGUGGGAGAUUCAUGGGAAGAUUCUCCAGAAGCUAAGAUGCUAUAGAAAUGAGGGGUGAGUAUUGUUCUGAGAUAAUCCUUCACAAGUCUCUUGCAUAUCUGCAUAUCUCAUGAGCAAAGCACUCACUGUUGCUCUUUGUUUUAGACUAUUUUUCUAAGAUCCAAUGUCUCUUUCCAAGAGAAGGACAGGUUUGCUUACAGUCUGGGAAAAUAGAGAAGAUAGUGUCCAGAGCAAAGGGCAUGCUGAAAUUCAUUCUAAAAGAUUUGGAUUUCCUAAGCUCAGGGUUCUUCUUGUGCAGUGCACCUGUUGUGUGUACGGCAGUCACCUGGCACUCUUCAUGUCACCCUGUGGGAAUUGAGGCUUGGGGAACUAGUGUAAAAAUGGUGACACUGUGGCUACUCUUGCUGUGAGUGCUAGAUGAUCCUUUAUCCCUGACCUAGGAAUCUCAUGCGUUCUACUAGCAUCCAUAAAACUUUGGCAGGCUAACUUUUUAACUUACAAGAAGGAUAAAUUCUCAGGCACUAUUCAGUUUUUAACACACUCCAAGUAGCCACUCCUAAUCAGUUGGAUGAGAUGAAACCAAUUUUCUGUCCUCGGCCCAGAGAAUGUAAAGUGGGCAGUGGGCAUGUGACAGGUAAGAAAAGGCCAGAACAAGCAGGACUAGCAGUUCAGCAAGGUGGGGAG